AAAAGGACUGAUACCGUUUGACCUACCUGGCAAAUAUAAUUGGGUCUCAUAAGCAUAGCAGUGAAAGGAAAUAUCUUUCUAAAAAAUAAAUAAAUAAAUGAAUAAUAGAACCCAGGGGAAGCAUAUAAAGGAAAAACAACAGAGGACCUGAUACGGAGCCCUGAGGUACACCACACGAUAAGGGGGCCGACGAAGAACAGAAAUUCCCUAUGUUUACUGCGAAAGUCCUAUCUUUCGGGUAAGACGCAAACCACUGCAAAGCCAGACCCUCGAUUCGAUCCACAGACUCUAAGCUAUUUAAAAGAAUAUUAAAAAAAUUAAUACGAUAGUAUCAAAGGCAGCACUAAGAUCCAAUAAGACCAACACAAUAAGUGCCAGAGUCAAGUGACAUUAAAAUAUCAUUAGUAACCUUUAACAGGGCCGAUUCAGUGCUGUGUAAAGAUCUAAAAUCUGACUGGAACAUGUCUAAAAUAUCUGAAAAAUUCUAAUGGUACAUAAACAACUAUUUCCAGCAACUUGGAGAUAACAGGCAAUUUGGAAAUAGGACUAUAGUUGUUUUGUAAAGUUGGAUCAAGAUAAGGUUUUCUAAGCAAAGGCUGCUCAUUUGAAUGCUUGAGGCUGGCUGGUGCGACUCCGGUAGCUAACUAUUAAUAAUGCUUGUCACAACUGGACUGACAUGACUGACAUGAUGGGAGUUUUUUUGUUUUGUUUUUAACUAUUUGCAUGACAGCAUGAAAUGCAAAACAAACAAACAAACAAACAAACAAACAAAAGUUAUAUCAGAAUUUAGCAUCCUGAAAUUACCCAAUGAAUUCUUUCUGUAGGUUAAACAUGUCAGUUUUAUUUCAAACAGAAAGUCAACGCAUUAGGAAAUGAAUAAUGCUGUGUCAACAAGGCACUGGGAUAUCGACAGUCUGUAAAAGCAGUUAUCUAGACAGUUAUGAGACUCCCUCAUUCCACUCCCUCUCUCCAUUCUUUCUUUCUUCCUUCCUCAGUUUCAUUUUUUACUCUCUCACCUUCCUUACUCUCUUUCUUGAUCAAUUUCUUUCUCUUUUUCCCCUCAGUUUCCUUCCUCACUUCCUCUCGCUCUCUCCUUCCUUCCCUUUUUAUAUUUCAUUCCUUCCUCGCUUUCUUGUUCUUCCUUCUUUCCUUUCUCCCAUCCUUCCUCACUUACUUUGUUUCCUUUCUUCCUUCCUUCCUCCCUCAAUUUCUCUCUUUUCUUUUGACCAUUGCUCCCUUACUCACAUUCCUACUUUCUCAUGCUUCCUUUCUUCCUCUCUUCCUUUCUUUUCAUUCCUUCACUAUCUCUUCCUUCCUCACUUUCUCUGUCCUUCCUCACUUUCCCUUCCUUACUUCGUUCCUCACUUUCUCUCGCUCUCUCCUUCCUCCCUUUUUUAUAUUUCAUUCCUUCCUCGCUUUCUUGUUCUUCCUUCUUUCCUUUCUCCCAUCCUUCCUCACUUACUUUGUUUCCUUUCUUCCUUCCUUCCUCCCUCAAUUUCUCUCUUUUCUUUUGACCAUUGCUCCCUUACUCACAUUCCUACUUUCUCAUGCUUCCUUUCUUCCUCUCUUCCUUUCUUUUCAUUCCUUCACUAUCUCUUCCUUCCUCACUUUCUCUGUCCUUCCUCACUUUCCCUUCCUUACUUCGUUCCUCACUUUCUCUCGCUCUCUCCUUCCUCCCUUUUUUAUAUUUCAUUCCUUCCUCACUUUCUUGUUCUUCCUUCUUUCCUUCCAUAAUUUCUCUUUUCUUUUGACCCUUGCUUCCUUACUCACAUUCCUACUUUCUCUUGCUUCCUUCCAUCCUCUCUUUCUCUCCCUUCCUUUCUUUCAUUUCUUCCUCACUGUGUCUUCCUUCCUCAAUUUCUCUCCGUCCUUCCUUCCUGUUUAUCUUUCCCUCUUUCCUCACAUUCCCACUUUCUCCUCCUUCCUUCCUUCCUUCCAAUGUCCUUACUGCCCUGUGUAAAACUGGCCUUGGUGAUCAUAACGCCAUGUUCACAAAACACGAAACGCACACACUUACUUGAUAUUCAUUCAUUUUUUCUACAUUAGCAACAUCAACAGUCUCUACUUCAACACACCACAAUCUCCCGUUUCUUUACUUGGGAAAUAAAACUCUACAUUAGUGCUAAUCCAGGAUUCGUCUUACCCAUCUACACACACUUUAAUUACCAUAUCAAUCUCAUCACACUGAAUCUUGAUCCAGCCACGGGGAGAGUGUGUUGUCUCUGGCAGAGUGUUACGUGAAAAAUCUAAUGGCUUGCAGAAUUUAAGAAAGGACCGGAGUGGUGAAGCAAAAUGACAUAAUAAGGACAUUAUCCAGAGAGAGAGAGAGAAAGAGAGAGAGAGAGAGAGACAUGUUAAUAUCACUCAGAGCAGGAAGACACACACACGGCUAAGAUUAAAAGCGGCAGAUGAUAUCUUAAUAGCGUUCUGUAGGAAGACACACACACUGGGGCACAAAUAAAUAAAUAAAUAAAUAAAUGAAACAGAGAGAGAGAGAGAGAGAGAGAGAGAAAAUAUUAAGACAAACCAGAAUGCAUAAUUAUCUGCUUAAAUAUCAUUAAACGAGUGCUUCAAAAAUUCUGACACACGUAAACAACAGGCCUGUGUAGUAAAUCUAUGUAUAUCGUAUAUAAAAGUUACCUUUUAUAUUUUAGAUAGAACUGACCAGCUGUGUUCUGAAUUGGGGGGGGGGUCAUUUCAGGGCCUUAAAAAUGCAAAUAGGAACUUGAAAUGAAAUGCAAAUCCUUGAAAAUUCAUGUUAAUAGCGCAACCUUUUUUUCUCUCUCUCUCUAUAAAAGGUGUGUUGGUAAUUAUAAUCAGCAUUACACAUCUACAAAAACUUUUAAACUUUACAAAUUGCACCUUUAAAGAGUGUUCAUAAAAACAGAAGCAGACACUGGGAGAUCACUCAACCUCUCAGACACUUCCGAGUCUCGACUGCAAGAGUACUAGACUGAUAUUUAAAAAAAUUAAAAAUAAAUAAAAAAUAAAAAUAAUAAAAGAUGCAGCUCGAGCUCAUGUCUUUUUUCUCUGCUGCUCAUACAAGAAAGGAAGAAACUUGCCUCUAUGCUCAGUUUUGCCGCCAGCCUGUAAUGCUCCUUAUUAAGUCGAUCCGACCGUUAAACUUUCCCAAAAGGCAAAGCGGUCCAGGUUGUAACUGAGGAGAUCGCAUGCCCCGAUUAGAAUUCAGAGGUAAACUCUUGAUGUGUGAAUAAAGACGAGCUCGCGUGGUUACCUACAGCUUUAGUCCCAUUCCAGCAAGACUCACCUGAGAUUCCCUUUUUCGCAGCGCAACAGUCUGCCAAGGCACACCCUCUGUGGAACACGCUCACGGAUCGUAUUUCUAUACGAUCCUAAAGUUAAUCCCCAUUCGCUAUCACUCUUAACCAGCAGGAACACACGAGAGCUCCAGCUUUUCCAAAGACCUUGGAACCGAGGCAAGCUGCGAAGUGACGGGCAGGAGUGUGUAAGCGAACCUAGCUCAAACCUGAUAACACACACUUUACAGAGGGUGAGAUUAUCUCUGCCGAGGACGUGCAGGGAGUCGUAAAGUCUCAGUGAUUUGCACAUUUCUCUACAAAACAAAAAGGUACAGAAAGGGUGUGGCCAGAACAGGUGGGCCUAGCUCUUAGAAAAGAGAUGCAAGUGUGAUGAAGAGCAGCAAUGUGCAGCAGGUGCUUCUUCCCUUUCGUGUUAUGGUUGAACGGGAGAGAGAGAGAGGAGAGAAUAAAUGAGAAGUCGACCCAGUUGCCGACUGGAGACAACGCAGACUACACCAGUUACACUUGCACUCUAAUUUUCUUUCGGUUUGCAUUUCAAUCAAAUUUACAGUAUAACUCACGUCAUUUUUAAAGCAUUAUAAUCGUUUCGAGUCGUUUCCAAGGACAAGAGGAUGUGGACUAGCUAAUGAAUGUGGCCUACAUUCAUUAGCUGACAAAAUUUGAAAUGUUUUGUAUUAUCGUAUUAAUGUAACGGUCCAGUUACCAGCGUGAC
ensembl:lncRNA